GACUAACCCGCGUUAGGGAUUGCAGUGGAAAGCCCACAGCCCGACGCAGGAGGUGCGAGGACUUGUAACGGAAAGCCCGACCCCCU
rnacentral:misc_RNA from 1 species